CUGAUCAGUAUCAUUAGUUUUAUUGACUUAAGCAGUCAAAUUAAAAAACUUUAUGUACUUCAAUUACAUGUCUUUAUUGUACAGAUUAAUAUGAUUACAUUUUUUCAACAUUUCUGUAUUAUCAUUACAAGCUGCAAAGGAGUCAUUUUAAAGCACUCCUUUUUCCACCAUCACAGGUGAUUUCUCACCUGAGAGCUCCACACCUUAGAGUGACUGAUACUGACAUUUCCCUUAACUGUAAGCACAUGCGAGAAGCGCCUGCAGCUAAGAUGUCGUCAUGAAAAACAACCCAGAGAACUGGUUUGAGCCGGUAGAGUGACUAUCAGAGCAGGGAGAUUAGCAGGCAGAGUGAUCUGUGUGUCUGCAGCUAAGCCUACAUACACGGCCUACCAUAGACCACAGACAUAAAAAACAUCAAAAAUGAUUUGAAAUUUGGAUGUUAAUGGAGUGGGUGAUUGUCUUAAUAAAGGGCCCAUUUAUGGUUAACUUGAAGAUAAAGAAUCAGAGGGUGAGGAGUCAAACCCUCAACUCAUCUAAACCCUCUAAUGCUACUUAGACAAGCUCUUAUCUAGAAGCCUUGCAUGAUUAAAUAGAGUCCAGUGUAAAAUACACUGUGUGGAGAAAGCUGCUCACCUCCCUACCCUCCCAUCCUAGCCUGAGCCAAACUGGUUUACACCGGUCUGGUAAAGAGCUGUGAGGGAAACCCAGUGAAGGUUAACCACAUCCUCUCCUUGCUGGGCACUGGAGCCACAGGUGGUAACAGUAGAUGCGGAUUAGAUGACUGAGCAUUGAGGCCACAUGGACACCUAGGCAAUGUAAGGCACCGUUACACCGAGCCAGUUCAAUCCGGCUGCAGCUCGGUUCAGGGCUGGUUGCACCACAGGGGCCCGAGACAAAAACUCCUCUUCGUCUAUCCACAUGAUGCUCCCCCAGUCAACAGCAUGAACUGAGCCUGCAAUUCCAAGCAUCACUGGAUAAGGUGGAUGGUACUGAGGUCACUCGUCCAUAAGCUGGUUGGUUUUCUAAUGUCAUUAGUCCACACAUUAGUGCCUAUAAUAUAUAUAAUAAUAUAUUAUAUAUAUAAUAUGUAUAUAAUAUAUAUAUAAGUCAAACUCAGCUCUUACACUUGCACUUAGGAUAUUGGAAAGUUUUAGUGCAACCAUUAUUUUGCUUUUGUUAAUGUUAUGUAUCAUAAGGCUGCAGACCUCUCAAGCUCUUAUAGCAUAAAACAUAAUCGCUUAGAGGAUCAUUUGACCUACAUCAUCAUACAUCAUCUAGUGGACCAAACACUAUUGUAUCAGAAUAUGUACAUUUUUACUACCUCCCAGCCCAACACUGGAAGUACAAAUUCUAAUUUGCAAUCUCUUUUCUUUGUGUUGAAUCCAAAAAUCCUUUGCCCAGGCUUUAAGGUAUUUAUGGCCAAGUAUUCCUGUUGUCCUAGUUUUGUGAAAAUAUAAGUGCAGCUUCUUUUUUUUUAUAAUUCUACCCAUACAUACAAAACAAACGAUAACAGUAUAGCUCAAUGAAUAAAGGAAUGAGGACAGACUAAUCUGAGCACAGUUCAAAGCUCAAGAGUCAGUACGAAGAGAAAAACAGCCAUAAAACACAUGCCAUGCAUACGCUGUUUCUGUUUAUCAUGAGCAGACGCUGCAAAACAGGGCAGUAUGGUCACGCACCCUUUACUCCUGAGUGAGGAUGCACUGCUGCAGACAGCUUUGCAGGGGCUAACAUGGCUCACUGUCUCCAUGGCGAAGCCUUAAGGACAAUAAGAGUCAGCGAGUGGAGGUGGAGAGACAGGGAGGAAACCGAGAGGGUUUGACUGGGUUUCCAUAACACUGCACCAGUAAACACGGGGUGACUCAGUUAGAUGAAUUAUAAUGUUCUGUUGCAUUGGAGGCCGUCUGCUUCUUAAGAAGUGAUGAAUAAACCAUCCCACAAUACAGUUUCCGCUUUACGCCUCAAUGUUUAGAAUAAAA